rnacentral:rRNA from 1 species
CGGCGACGGGUGAGUAAUGCCUAGGAAUCUGCCUGGUAGUGGGGGACAACGUUUCGAAAGGAACGCUAAUACCGCAUACGUCCUACGGGAGAAAGCAGGGACCUUCGGGCCUUGCGCUAUCAGAUGAGCCUAGGUCGGAUUAGCUAGUUGGUGAGGUAAUGGCUCACCAAGGCGACGAUCCGUAACUGGUCUGAGAGGAUGAUCAGUCACACUGGAACUGAGACACGGUCCAGACUCCUACGGGAGGCAGCAGUA